AUCUUGUAUUAAUGAGCUCUUCAGGUGAUUCAGAUCCAGGAUAAACAGGGUUCUUAUAGGGGGUUUGUUAAAACAGAUGGCUGGCCGUUUUUCUAAGUCCUCAAUCUAGCAGGUCUUCACUGGGACAAGAGACCUUCCUUUGAGGCACCAGGUCUAGAUACGGGAGAUCAUGGAGAAAAGAAGAGUGAUCAUAGCUUUAAAAGAGUCUUGGAAUGAAUUUAACUGGAAAAGAAGAGAGAGUGAGUUUAAAACGUACAACUAGAAGAGAAGAAGCCGUAUUUGCACCUUAAAGAUAUUGGCAAUCCAUCACCAUAUAUAGUUCAGUCCGUGUGGAGUUUAUGAAGAGAAACUUUGUUCUUGAGGAAAACUGCAAUCCAGACAUGCUGCUUGCUAUCUGGUAACAGAGUGUGAAUCAAAGAGACUAUGGAAAUGAUGUUAGACAAAAAGCAAAUUCAAGCAAUUUUAUUAUGCAAGUUGAAAAUGGGUUGUAAAGCAGUGGAGUGGAGACAACUCACAACAUCAACAAUGCAUUUGGCCCAGGAACUGAUAAUGUACUGAACAGUGCAGUGGUGAUUAAAAAAGUUUUGUAAAGGAGAUGAGAGCCUUGAAGAUGAAGAGCAUACUGGCUGGCCAUUUGAAGUUUGAGAAUGAUGAACUGAGAGCCAUAUUUGAAGCUGAACCUCUUACAACUACAUGAGAAGUUGCUGAAGAACUCAACACGGACCAUUCUACGGUGGUAUGGCAUUUGAAGUAAAUUAGAAAGGUGAAAAAGCUUGACAAGUGGGUGCCUUGUGAGCUGACCAAAAAUUAAAAAAACAAAAAAACAUCAUUUUGAAGUGUCAUUGUCUCUUACUCUAUACAACUACAGUGAACCAUUUUUCUAUCCAAUUGUGCCAUGCAAUGAAAAAUACAUUUUAUAGGACAACCAGACCAGCUCAGUGGUUGGGCCAAGAGGAAACUCCAAAGCACUUCCAAAAGCCAAACUUGGACACACACACACACAGACACAAAGCUCAUGAUCACUGUUUGGUGGUCUGCUGCCCAUCUGAUCCGCUACAGCUUUCUGAAUCCUGGUCAAGCCAUACAACCAGUGCUUUGAAAGUUCAAUGAACUGGGCUUUGAAGUUUUGCCUCAUCUGCCAUAUUCAGCUGAUCCCUCACCAACUGACUACCAA